UACAGAGGGGGCAAGCGUUAUUCGGAAUUAUUGGGCGUAAAGGGCGCGUAGGCGGUGUUUUAAGUGAGAUGUGCAAUCCCCGGGCUUAACCUGGGAACUGCAUCUCAGACUGGAACGCUAGAGUACUGGAGAGGGUGGUAGAAUUCCACGUGUAGCGGUGAAAUGCGUAGAGAUGUGGAGGAAUACCAGUGGCGAAGGCGGCCACCUGGACAGUAACUGACGCUGAGGCGCGAAAGUGUGGGUAGCAAACAGG
rnacentral:rRNA from 1 species